rnacentral:rRNA from 1 species
ACGCUCGACACCUACGUGAGGCAGCAGUCGGGAAUAUUGCGCAAUGGAGGAAACUCUGACGCGGUGACGCCGCGUGCAGGAAGAAGGUUUUCGGAUUGUAAACUGCUUUAGACAGGGAAGAAUAAUGACAGUACCUGUAGAAUAAGCUCCGGCUAACUACGUGCCGGCAGCCGCGGUAAUCUGAGCGGGCUGGCAAGGC